UCGGUGUGUUCAGAGCAGGCAUCUCGCAAACUAUAGACUGCCUGUUUACACCACACCGCAGAGCAAUGAGUCAGGAAUGCAGGCAGGGUAUAGUGUGCCUGGCUGCCACUUUACUGACCCUACAAUA
ensembl:snoRNA small nucleolar RNA SNORA11